AUACUAUUCUUCACCUAAAGAAACUAGAACCCUGCAUCUGUUCCUAUCAGUUUAAUAUCUGAUACAUCCUCUAUCCAAGGAAAUAUAUUAAAUGGAUUUUUGGAGCUAGGAGAUGGAAUAGGAGCUUGCUCCAUUCACUCCGCGCAUUGACUUGGUAUUGCAGUACUUCCAGAAACAGUGCACCAGAA